GACGAACCGUGCGAACGUUGUUCGGAUUCACUGGGCUUAAAGGGCGCGUAGGCGGGCGGUCAAGUCGGGGGUGAAAUCUUUCCGCUUAACGGGAAGCGUGCCUCCGAUACUGAUCGCCUCGAGGGAGGUGAGGGGCAGUGUGGAACUUCCGGUGGAGCGGUGAAAUGCGUAGAUAUCGGAAGGAACGCCGGUGGCGAAAGCGACGUGCUGGACCUCUUCUGACGCUGAGGCGCGAAAGCUAGGGGAGCGAACGGG
rnacentral:rRNA from 1 species